rnacentral:lncRNA from 1 species
UGCAUCUUACUGCAAUGUGCUUUCAUUUCCUUCCCCCAUACUUGUACUAUUCUUGUCAUAGAUUUUACUUUCCUAUAUCUUGCAAUUCAUUGUUAUAGUUAUUAUGCAAUAGGCUCUCUCUAUUUUAACAAUUUUUUAAAUGAGAAAAAAAAUUUUCUAUUUUUUUCACACUUUAACCAUCCUUUAUUGCUUUUCUAAGGUACAUGUUCCCACCUGAAGAACUUCCUUGAAGAUGUCUUAUAGUGCAGGUCUGCUGUUUAUCUUGCUUAGGGUUCAUUAAACUUCUUGGAUUUAUCAGAUGCUGGCCAUUUUUAUAUUAUAUGGAUGAGUGUCCAGAUUCAGUUAUAUUCUUUUAACAACUGUUGAAAUUUAUUCUGGCAGAUAGUUAAUUUUAUGUGUCAACUUGACUGGGCCACAGGAUGCUGAGAUACCUGGUUCAACAUUAUUUAUGGGUGAGUCUGUGAGACUGUUUCAGGAAGAGAUUAGCAUUGGAAUCAUAGGCUGAGUACAG